UACGGGGGGGGUAAGCGUUGUUCGGAAUUACUGGGCGUAAAGGGCUCGUAGGCGGCCAACUAAGUCAGACGUGAAAUCCCUCAGCUUAACUGGGGAACUGCGUCUGAUACUGGAUGGCUUGAGUGCAGGAGAGGAACGCGGAAUUCCAGGUGUAGCGGUGAAAUGCGUAGAUAUCUGGAGGAACACCGGUGGCGAAGGCGGCGUUCUGGACUGCAACUGACACUGAGGAACGAAAGCCAGGGGAGCAAACGGG
rnacentral:rRNA from 1 species